ACGGGAGGCAGCAGUGGGGAAUAUUGGGCAAUGGGCGAAACCCUGAUCCAGCGACGCCGCGUGAGUGAAGAAGGAUUUCGGUAUGUAAAGCUCUAUCAGCAAGGAAGAAAAUGACGGUACUUGACUAAGAAGCUACGGCUAAAUACGUGCCAGCAGCCGCGGUAAUACGUAUGUGGCAAGCGUUAUCCGGAUUUACUGGGUGUAAAGGGAGCGUAGACGGCAAAGCAAGUCUGAAGUGAAAUGCCGGGGCUUAACCCCGGAACUGCUUUGGAAACUGUUAAGCUAGAGUGCAGGAGAGGUAAGCGGAAUUCCUAGUGUAGCGGUGAAAUGCGUAGAUAUUAGGAGGAACACCAGUGGCGAAGGCGGCUUACUGGACAGUAACUGACGUUGAGGCUCGAAAGCGUGGGGAGCAAACAGGAUUAGAUACCCUGGUA
rnacentral:rRNA from 1 species